AAAAGAGGGAUGCUACGAAGUGGCUCGCCAACUGAGUUAGAAUUCCAAGUACAACAAUACAGUCAAAAAGGUAACAAAAAAUAGACCAAUAAACUCAUCAUUUUGGAUGAAGUACAUGGCCACAUUCACAAUCCAGUAAGAACUACCUAUAGAUGAAAGAAAUCUGAGUCAAUACUGUUUUCUCUCUUCUUGUAUGGACUGAAAAAUCCGAGCAACAGAUUCUGUAGCUGAUCGGGCAUUGUGAGGUAUAGCUUUGAUUGCUCGGGCAGGGCGUUCAGGAAAAUGAGGCUGAGGCCGAAGAAUGGGAUUGUCAACAGCUGGAGAAGUUGGGAAGUGAUGAAAUGCACUUCUUCCUCUUGUGGAGUUGCCCAUGUCUACUGCACGAGUUAUUUCACUCGGACUACCCGCUGUGCUGGCGUGCAACUCAGAAUCUCUAGAGGGGUACAAUCUCACAACUUCUGGUAAGGUUCCAUCACUCUCACUCCCAACAUUACUUGAAUUCUGGUGUUGAAUGUUAAAACUAGCUCUCCCUCCUGAUAACUGACCUUUAGAAUGGGAUGCCACAACCUGGUUCGAUUGAUAUUGAGUUGGAGAUGGGAUUGCUGGAUUCGUUACUGGCAUGCCAAAGGGACGAAAGUAGCCAUGACCAGUCGGAGGCGCAAAGGGAAGUCCAUAUGCUGAAGCUAAAAAGUUUCCCGUCAUUGGAGUCGACCCUGGGGGUCCACAACCGCCAUAUACUGGACUCAUGACUGCAGGUCCAGAGUGUGGCUUGUACACGAGUCCUUCAGAAGGAGACAUCAUGGGUAUCAACCAUUGAUGCCCCGGAGGUUGAUUGAAGUACCAAGGACUCAUAAGGGAAUCAUGUUUUACAGGUGUUGGUAGUUGUUUUUCUGAAAGUGGAUUGCAGCUAGAAGGUUGGCGUACUGAAGAAAGAGAUGUCUUUCCUACAUCAUUUUCAGCAUUGCACUCCAUCCUACCUUUAGGUUUCUCUGAAUCAUUCUUGGGUCGCGAAACAAUUUCA
rnacentral:misc_RNA from 1 species